GACGAACGCUGGCGGCGUGCUUAACACAUGCAAGUCGAACGGAAAGGCCCUGCUUUUGUGGGGUGCUCGAGUGGCGAACGGGUGAGUAACACGUGAGUAACCUGCCCCUGACUUUGGGAUAAAUUCAGGAAACUGGGGAUAAUACCGGAUAGGAGCUCUUGCUGCAUGGUGGGGGUUGGAAAGUUCCGGCGGUUGGGGCUGGUCUCGCAGGUUAUCAGCUUGUUGGUGGGGUAGUGGCAUACCAAGGCUUUGAAGGGUAGCCGGCCUGAGAGGGGGACCGGCCACAUGGGGACUGCGGUACGGCCCAGUCUCCUACGGUACGCAACAGUGGGGAAUAUUGCAGAACGAGCGGAAGCCAGAUGCAGCAACGCCGCGUGCGGGAUGACGGCCUUCGGGUUGUAAACCGCUUUCGCCUGUGACGAAGCGUGAGUGACGGUAAUGAGUAAAGAAGCACCGGCUAACUACGUG
rnacentral:rRNA from 1 species